rnacentral:lncRNA from 1 species
GCGGCCGCGGACAGAGGUAACCGCUGCGUCGUCCGGCGCACGGGACUCAGCCUGGAGCGGCCACCCGCGUUCGCGUCGGUGAGGAGCGGCCGGGCGGCGCCAGCGCCAUCCCUCGGGGAACCGAAGGGAUCCGGGCGGGCCUCGCGGGCCGCGCUGCCGCGAGCGGCGACGCAGUGCUGGAGAUCAAAUUCAGUUGACUAUUUAAAAUACACCAAUUACUGUUUACUGCUUCUGCGGCCAACAUCUCGUGUGUGGUCGGUCAGCCUGUUUGCUCUGCUCUGAGGAGAAGCUGCUUAACUUCAGACAACCUCUGUGGUCGGUUCCUGGGAUCCUUUUCUGACUUUCCACAAACUGUCUAAUGAAAUUGAAGGUUUCGAAAGAUGUCUAAAGCUUAGUGGCCACAUCUAUCGUCUGUCUUCUGACCCUUAAAAAAAAAAAAACAAAGAAUAAAUGGGAUGUUUCAGAAGAGAGCUAUUUAAAAGGAAGAGUGUUGCAAAUGGCUUCAGAAUCUACCAAUGGGAAGCUAGCUAGGAGUCACGUGACAAAGGGGCGGCGUCAGCAGCAGCAGCAGCAGCAGGUGAGGAGCCGGUCCUCUGUCAGCGAGUGCGAUGGCGACGACUCCUUCAUCUUCGAAGCCAACGAGGCCUGGAAGGACUUUCACGGCUCUCU